CCCCCCCGGGCCCCGCCCUCCGCCUGCGUCUCCAGCCCCACGGCUUUCGGAUUGGGGCGCCAUCUUGACGAUGGGCGGAAGACUUCAGGCAAGAGGCCAGAGUCCGAUUGAGGAUUGGUUCAGGGUGGGGUCUGGGCGAAACCUGUUACACGAUUGGAGGCCGAGGCUCUAAUGGGGCGGUACUUACUGCUGAUCUAUAUCUGCGGCGAGGCUGGGACGGAGGCACCGCCCCGCCCGACCCCACAGAACCUCGCGGGCCCUACACUCCCCCUGCCGAGGUUGAAGUCCCCAGCGGUUGGAAGAUCGGCCAAUUGUAGUGUAUUUAUCAGAAAAGUGACUCAUCCUUGAUCCUCAUUUCCCGGUUUGUGGAACUCUGUGAGGAAAGCCCUGCAGUUAGGCUCAAUAAAAGACAGAAAUUCCUGUCGCAGCGCUCAUAAUUCAUUUCCCUCUAGGUCUGUCGCCUUUGUAGAAACCCCGAGGAUGGCAACCUUCAACCUGGAGAUCCCUGAAGCCUUGACCAGGGAGGUUUACAGUGAAGCGUUCCUAUUAGCGACUACAGCUAUCUAACCUCAGUUCCUCCUGCUGCAGUUUCGGUCCCUUUCUCCUCCUCCUCCAGCAACCACGCCCUCCAUGAAUCAGCUUCUUGCACCAGCAGAUGAGCCCUUUAAAGGGAUUGCAUCAGGGAUAACGCUUGGGGGAUCACUGUGAGGACUCGGAGUUAUAGAAACAGCUUUUUGCAAGACCCAGCGAGCACUCAUACUCAUCUCAGUUGAAGGGCUUCAAUGAGGUGCAGGAAUGUGUGUGCCGAGCUCCCACAC
rnacentral:lncRNA from 10 species